rnacentral:tRNA from 1 species
GCCUGGGUGGCUUAGUCGGUUGAGUGUCUGACUUCAGCUCAGGUCAUGAUCUCAUGGCUUGUGGGUUCGAGCCCUGCGUUGGGCU